rnacentral:rRNA from 1 species
AACUGCUGCACAAGGAGUGUUCGAUUGGACUCCUUUUCACACAAUGAACAACCAGCUUAGAACUGAUGCGGGCAAGGGGRAUCCGACUGUUUAAUUGAAACAAAGUAUUGCGAUGCCCUGAAAGGAUGUUGACACAAUGUGAUUUCUGCCCAGUGCUCUGAAUGUCAAAGUGAGGAGAUUCAACUAAGCGCGGGUAAACGGCGGGAGUAACUAUGACUCUCUUAAGGUAGCCAAAUGCCUCGUCAUCCAAUUAGUGACGCGCAUGAAUGGAUUAAUGAGAUUCCUACWGUCCCAAUCURCUGUCCAGCGAAACCACAGCCAAGGGAACGGGCUUGGGUGAGUCAGCGGGGAAAGAAGACCCUGUUGAGCUUGACUCUAAUCCGACUUUGUGAAAUGACUUAGGAGGAGUAGGAUAUGUGGGAGCUCWGGUGAUCUUGAAAUACCACUACUUUUAAUGUCACUUUACUUACUCUAUCCAACUGUGCCCUGCCUCACAGCAGGUUUUUGCUUUWAAGGUUGCUCUUUUGGCGUGUUGAUUUGCGUAGAAGACGUCGUCCGGUGGGGAGUUUGGCUGGGGCGGCACAUCUGUUAAAGGAUAACGCAGGUGUCCUAAGGUGAGCUCAAUGAGAACAGAAAUCUCAUGCGGAUCAAAAGGGGAAACGCUUGCUUGAUUUUGCUUUUCAGUGUGAAGAUAAACUGUGCAAACAUGGCCUAUUGAUCCUUUAG